AGCAGCCGCGGUAAUUCCAGCUCCAAUAGCGUAUAUUAGUGUUGUUGCGGUUAAAAAGCUCGUAGUUGAAUUUCGGGAUUGGGAUAUAUCGGUCAUGCCUUUAGGGGCAUGAAUCGGUGUGUGGCCAAUUCUCACUUUCUGGUGAAUUGGGAUGCUCUCGGGUGUUUCAAUGAACUAGGACUUUUACUUUGAAAAAAUUAGAGUGUUUAAAGCGGGCAUUUUUGCUUGAAUACGUUAGCAUGGAAUAAUAAAAUAGGACGAUGGUUCUAUUUUGUUGGUUUUAGGACCACGUAAUGAUUAAUAGGGAUAGUUGGGGGCAUUAGUAUUCAAUUGUCAGAGGUGAAAUUCUUGGAUUUAUUGAGGACUAACUACUGCGAAAGCAUUUGCCAAGGAUGUUUUCAUUAAUCAAGAACGAAAGUUAGGGGAUCAAAGACGAUUUAUGUACGUCGUAGUCUUAACCAUAAACUAUGCCGACUAGGAAUCAGACAAAGUUAAUUUUUUAACGACUUGUUUGGUACCUUACG
rnacentral:rRNA from 1 species